rnacentral:rRNA from 1 species
CUAUCUGGAAAGAGACUUCGGUCAAUGGAAGGAUAGCCUAGUGGCGGACGGGUGAGUAACGCGUGAGUAACCUGCCUAGGAGUGGGGAAUAACAGUCCGAAAGGAUUGCUAAUACCGCAUAAUGCAGUUGGGUCGCAUGGCCCUGACUGCCAAAGAUUUAUCGCUCUUAGAUGGACUCGCGUCUGAUUAGCUAGUUGGCGGGGUAAAGGCCCACCAAGGCGACGAUCAGUAGCCGGACUGAGAGGUUGGCCGGCCACAUUGGGACUGAGAUACGGCCCAGACUCCUACGGGAGGCAGCAGUGGGGAAUAUUGGGCAAUGGGCGAAAGCCUGACCCAGCAACGCCGCGUGAAGGAAGAAGG